rnacentral:rRNA from 1 species
UUCGCAAUGCCCGAAAGGGUGACGAAGCGACGCCGCGUGCGGGAAGAAGGCCUUCGGGUUGUAGACCGCUGUCGGGAGUUAAGAAAUGUAAGGAUGUUAAUAGCAUCUUUGCUUGACUAAGGCUCCGGAGGAAGCCACGGCUAACUCUGUGCCAGCAGCCGCGGUAAUACAGAGGCGGCAAGCGUUGUUCGGAAUUAUUGGGCGUAAAGAGCACGUAGGCGGCUAUGUAAGUCGGUUGUGAAAGCCUUCCGCUCAACGGGAGAACAGCAUCCGAUACUGCAUGGCUUGAGUGCGGGAGGGGAGAGUGGAACUUCUGGUGGAGCGGUGAAAUGCGUAGAUAUCAGAAGGAACGCCGGCGGCGAAAGCGGCUCUCUGGCCCAUAACUGACGCUGAGUGUGCGAAAGCUAGGGGAGCAAACGGGAUUAGAUACCCCGGUAGUCCUAGCCGUAAACGAUGGGCACUAAGUAGAGGGGUUU